AUACCUUUCUCGGCCUUUUGGCUAAGAUCAAGUGUAGUAUCUGUUCUUAUCAGUUUAAUAUCUGAUAUGUGGGUCAUGUGCUCACAACGAUAUUAAAUUUAUUUUUUGUGGGGGAGGGCCCACCACAGUGGCUUGCCAUUGGGGCCCUCAGGUGUCGCUCAGUGCGUUGCACUACUGCCUGGGCAGGCGCACCCCAA
rfam:Triticum aestivum genome assembly, contig: Triticum_aestivum_CS42_TGACv1_scaffold_221246_3B